rnacentral:rRNA from 1 species
AUUCAACGCUGGCGGCAGGCCUAACACAUGCAAGUCGAGCGGAUGAAGGGAGCUUGCUCCUGGAUUCAGCGGCGGACGGGUGAGUAAUGCCUAGGAAUCUGCCUGGUAGUGGGGGAUAACGUCCGGAAACGGGCGCUAAUACCGCAUACGUCCUGAGGGAGAAAGUGGGGGAUCUUCGGACCUCACGCUAUCAGAUGAGCCUAGGUCGGAUUAGCUAGUUGGUGGGGUAAAGGCCUACCAAGGCGACGAUCCGUAACUGGUCUGAGAGGAUGAUCAGUCACACUGGAACUGAGACACGGUCCAGACUCCUACGGGAGGCAGCAGUGGGGAAUAUUGGACAAUGGGCGAAAGCCUGAUCCAGCCAUGCCGCGUGUGUGAAGAAGGUCUUCGGAUUGUAAAGCACUUUAAGUUGGGAGGAAGGGCAGUAAGUUAAUACCUUGCUGUUUUGACGUUACCAACAGAAUAAGCACCGGCUAACUUCGUGC